AGAGAUUGCAGCGGCGAAAAUUUGGAGAUCGACUCCCUCAUGUCUUCAGUAAAUUCUUCAUCCACUACAAGAGAUCGCCUCGCGAAACAACGGGGAAUUCCCACAAGAUGCAAUUGCGGUGAGGCAGUGAAUCGUUUCACUUCAAAAACAAUUCAAAAUCCGGGAAGAUUAUUUCAUUGUUGUCCUUUGGGAUCUCAAAAGGACAAAACCCACUUGUUCAAAUGGACUGACAAGUCAGUUGUUGAGGAGAUUGAAGACUUCCAAGACCUGUUUGACGUGUUACUCGUUGACAAUUCCGAGUUUCAGAAAUCAGUGAGAGCUGGUGAGGCCAUGAUGACACGCCAUGAGAGUAGAAUUCAAGAGAUGGAAGAUGCAAUGUGCCAUUGCGAAGAGAAGACCUUGGAAUGCAUUAGGGAACUUAGGGGCAUAAAAGCUUUGUUUGUGUGUUGUUUGGUGAUGGUCUUCUUGUACCAUAUCUAUGCAUGAUGUUCAACUACUUUUAUGUGCUUCCUCAACUUGUUGUUUCUUAUUUUCAAAGAAGUUAAGACCAUGUUUCUUGUUAUUUCGAGGUGAUCAUCAUCUACUGAAACGAAUUAUUUUGCAAUUACUUUGAUUGUUACUAGAAUAAAUCGAUUUGUCUCUAUAGUUUAGCAAAUACCAAAUUGUCAAAUAGGUUCUUAAACAGAAGAUCAAAUUGUUUCAAAAGCAAUAAAGAAAAAAACAGAGACAGAUGCAGACACAUAACAAACUAGAUGGGUAAAUCGCAUGUUCCUCUCUUGUGUCCUUCAGUUCCACAACGGCUACACUUAUGCUUUUUAUUCUUCUUUGAUCCUUGAGAAGAUGCGAUCUUGUCUUCUACUGAUUCAUACCUUCUCUUUACUGGUCGACCAGCACUCUUUCUUGUCUUUGGUGGUAAAACCUUUGCAAGUUUAACCUCAGCAGGGACAUUCCAUUCUGACUCUACAACUGCUAUUGGAUUAAUGGAAUCUGCAUAGGCGGUUCUCCACGCUGCAGUGCUGUAUAAGGCGUCAGUGAAUCUGUGCACUUCCAUACCUGUCAAUCUCAAAAAAAACUUGAUCAAUAUGAAGUCUAUAUGAUGAAAAUCCCGAAAAUAAAUAAUUCUCAAGUAUUCAUGUGUUUAUACUUCCAUACCUCGUGAAUAAAUUGCAGGAAUGGCGUGUCGGCAAGGAAUUUUUCCUAUAUCAUACUUACCACAUGUGCAUGUUCUUCUUUCCAAAUCAACAUGACAAUCAUAUAUGUCUCCUUUUACAACCGAUCUGAAGUUGUCAACCUUGUAAACCUGGAAUCCUUUUGCCUUCACAAUUCUCCUAUCAAUCUUUCUCUCCACCUUAGCGGUUAAAGGAUCUAGAUGCUUUGAGCUUAACAAGCGACGCUCAUAGAACCAUCGAGUCAACAGUUCUCUUAUACUAUCAAGCAAAGGAAUAACCGGAUAUUCUCUAGGUAUUCUAAGAACUGAAUUUAUAGACUCUGCAGGGUUCGUGGUCCUAAUGUCAUACCUGGAACCAGGGAAGAGAGAACGAGCCCAUUUGCGCACAUCAGCCUCCCGUAGAUAUCUUCCAAGCUCAGGACUCAUAUCAAAAAUUUCGGUGAUACGUUCUUGAAAUUCAGUGUAUCUAUAUGCCCGUGAAGCCUUUUCUACCAACGCAGUCAAUCCUUUUGUCUUGAAAAAUGAGACCACAUUGGUCAAUAAGUGAUGAAUGCAAAUUCCAUGUGCUGAUCGAGGGUAGACAGUCCCAAUAGCUUUAGAAAUAGACGCAUUUCUAUCUGAGACAAAAGCUAGGUCUUGACAAUCAGCAAUAACCACUUUCAACUGUCUGAAGAACCACCCCC